GUGGUUCACACCAGUUCCCGGGUUGAAGCUGGUGUGGCUGUUCUCAUGUGCAGCCACCACCGCACCUUGGUUCCUGCAGGGAUGGCUGUGGCUGAGAGGGCGAAUCCUGGCUCAGGGUGGGGACUGGUUUUGGACACAUCUCCCUUCACAUGCCCUGGGCCUGUUUUUCCCAAGGAACUCUAAAUUUCCUGUGAAUAUGUGAGCCAGGAUGCAGCAAGCAGGCUCCUGGAGGUGGAUUUUGGGGAAUGAAGAGCCAGAGCCAGAUUCCUGAUGCGUAUGGGGCUGAGGUGAUCCCAGCAUCGACCCUGGAGUGCUCUGCACCUCCUGCUGCUUUCUCAUCCCUUUUCUCCUCGGUACCUCCGGAGCAAGCAGCAAGCAGGGCUGCAGUACCACGGCUCUUCCCAGCAAUGUCAUCGCCACCACGGCAGUCUCAAGGUCAGGGUGAAGCCUGGUGUCAGUCCACAGCUGAGCCAGCACACUGGAGGGUGAGAGCAGCCAGUAGCAGCCCCGGGGCAAAGUGGCUCUCAUAAAAUGAAGGAGGAAGCUUGGACCCUGUGCUAGCUGCUCGAGUGCUGGUUUUGGCACUCCUGCCAGUGCCACCAAGGGACCACACAAAGCCUCUCGGGGGUGGUGUGUGUCAUCCCACAGCAAUGAGAAGCUCGUGCUGAAGAGGAGCAAAGAGCUGUGAUUGAUUUCUCUAACGCUCCCCAAAGGACUGGCUUGGCUCCGGGAUGCUGCUCUCGCUCCCUUGUACCCAUGGAUGGGGACAGCUGAGCUGCCAUGGGCAGGGGAGACCCCCAGGCCCCAAUUUCUCCCCCGCGGAGGCAAAACGCUUUGGCUAAUUAGCAAAACGUGUCGAAGAAAAUGAUUAAUGUCCCGGGAGGAGGUUUAGCUGCCUUUGUGCUGGCCUUGCCUGACUUCUGCUCUUAAAGGUUUUAUUAAAAGAUAAGGGGGCUGGUGAGGGGAGAGCAACGAAUGUGCCCCCCUGGGUGUUAAGGGGUCGGAGAAGAGGGGGGCCGCGGGGCAGGUAGGGGUCACGCUCGGAGGGAGAGGUGAGGGUUUGUGUUUCUGUGCCUCUGUGUAUGGCUGUCACCGCGGUGUCUGGCCUUGGCAGGAGAAAAGACGUGAAAAAGGAAUGGCUGAAUGGCUCCUUUCUUCUUCCAGGGGCAGGUAAUUCAAUCUCCUCGGCCGGGCUAUGAAUGUUGCUGUGUUACAGAGCCGUGCGUGGGUGCGCGCUCCGGGAGCCAGGCUUUAGGGGGUCUCGGCGAGGGGAUGC